UCAGUUGCCCUACCCCAGGCUGUGAUGGCAGUGGACACAUCACGGGAAAUUAUGCUUCUCACCGCAGCCUUUCUGGUUGUCCUCUUGCUGACAAGAGUCUCAGAAACCUCAUGGCUGCCCACUCUGCUGACCUCAAGUGCCCAACUCCCGGCUGUGAUGGGUCCGGUCACAUAACAGGAAAUUACGCAUCACAUAGGAGGUACGUUGAAAAUUUGUAUACAGAAAUGAGGCCGAUGGCAGAAAGCGAAGAGGAGAAAUAGUGUAUUUGGGGAACUCAUAAACCCAGGCCUGCUUUCAAGAAAGUCAAGACAAUAGCUACAAUCUCACAAUUCAUUGCCUGGUGGUCUUGGCCGCCAUCUUGGUUCUUUUUCCUCCAUCCCAUCCCACUUAUUUAUGCAUUCAUUUAAAACUU